UGAUCUAGCCAUGCCGCGUGAGUGAUGAAGCCUUAGGGUCUGUAAAGCUCUUUCGCCUGUGAUGAUAAUGACAGUAGCAGGUAAAGAAACCCCGGCUAACUCCGUGCCAGCAGCCGCGGUAAUACGGAGGGGGUUAGCGUUGUUCGGAAUUACUGGGCGUAAAGCGCGCGUAGGCGGAUUAGAAAGUUGGGGGUGAAAUCCCGGGGCUCAACCUCGGAACUGCCUCCAAAACUGCUAGUCUAGAGUUCGAGAGAGGUGAGUGGAAUUCCGAGUGUAGAGGUGAAAUUCGUAGAUAUUCGGAGGAACACCAGUGGCGAAGGCGGCUCACUGGCUCGAUACUGACGCUGAGGUGCGAAAGUGUGGGGAGCAAACAGGAUUAGAUACCCUGGUAGUCCACACCGUAAACGAUGAAUGCCAGUCGUCGGGUAGUAUACUAUUCGGUGACACACCUAACGGAUUAAGCAUUCCGCCUGGGGAGUACGGUCGCAAGAUUAAAACU
rnacentral:rRNA from 1 species